AGUGAGGGGGCCACCUCCCCAGGCACCGCCUGUUCUUCCCCAUGCUCAGGGCUUCUUCUCUCCACCCGUGAGCACCAGAGCCUGUAAGAUGUCAGACAGCGAAACGAUGCCCUUGACCACGUCGUGUUCAUCCACCACCACCAGACGGUGAACCUGGCCCAGAGGAACAGCAAGUAACGUCAGUGCCAGCUCCAGUUCGGGUAAGGCGGAGACUCGGUGCUGUACAAAGAUGCCCAGAGCCACGUAGACAGGCGUGGUAGUACGGACCAUGGCAAUAUUGGCAUAGGUGCCAAUCUGCAGCUCUUGGAGAGACUUAGACAUGAAUUCCGGCUUGGGGAACUCGGUGAUCUGAGGAAGGGGGCAUUGGCUUGCAGGUGCUUUCCGGAUAGAGCAGGAGGUGCUACGCUCAAU
rnacentral:lncRNA from 1 species